rnacentral:rRNA from 1 species
CUACGGUGAAUACGUUCCCGGACCUUGUACACACCGCCCGUCAAGCCAUGGAAGCCGGGUGUACCUAAAGUCGAUAACCGUAAGGAGUCGCCUAGGGUAAAACUGGUGACUGGGGCU